UUUUGUAGCCAAGAUAACUCGAUAGAAAUCAGAAUAAUCUGAAGGUUUCGGGCGACCCGCACAGCUCUAGUUUAGGA